AUUAAAACACUAGUUCUCAUAUGAUCACUGAAGUUAAGCAGCAUCAAGUCUGGUCAGUACCUAGAUGAGUGACCACUUGGGAAUACCAGGUGCUGUAAG